CUGCUUCUGCCAAGGGGGCUGCUCUGGUGUGCGACCUGCAUUCUCAUGCUCUCAGGUCCAGGACACACAGCUGAAGAGGCGCUAAUGCCUGGGAACAUUUCUGCAGCCAGAGACAGCAAUAUGUCAGCUUGCACUGCUGCCUGGCAAUCCGCCUGCUGCUAUUGUCUCCUUGGUGAGCUGGGACCAGUGCAACGGGGUUGACCUGGUGGUUUAUCUGAACAAAGACACGGCCAACAUCUGCCCAGCAUUCAGGGAAAAGAUCUCUCUGGCAGUAGAGUAUGGGAUAACGCUCCACUUAUUGGGACUCAGAGACACUGGGGAUUACUGCUGUAAAUUCCACACCUUCCCUUUUGGGAUAUAUGAAGGCAGGAUGUUCCUGGAAGUGACAGCAGAAUCAGCGCAGCCUGCCCUUGGCACCAUCCAUCCCUCUGUAAUCAUCUGCCUGACAGGAGAAGCGCUCUGUGCUGCAUGUCUUGUCUUCUGGCUCACCAGGGCCAAGAAAAAAACGAGGACAAUGCAUGUGUCGCCACAUACACCGUGGACGGUGCUUUCAAG
rnacentral:lncRNA from 1 species